CUUGCUCCCCGGGUGACGAGCGGCGGACGGGUGAGUAAUGUCUGGGAAACUGCCUGAUGGAGGGGGAUAACUACUGGAAACGGUAGCUAAUACCGCAUAACGUCGCAAGACCAAAGAGGGGGACCUUCGGGCCUCUUGCCAUCAGAUGUGCCCAGAUCGGGAUUAGCUAGUAGGCGGGGUAAUGGCUCACCUAGGCGACGAUCCCUAGCUGGUCUGAGAGGAUGACCAGCCACACUGGAACUGAGACACGGUCCAGACUCCUACGGGAGGCAGCAGUGGGGAAUAUUGCACAAUGGGCGCAAGCCUGAUGCAGCCAUGCCGCGUGUGUGAAGAAGGCCUUCGGGUUGUAAAGCACUUUCAGCGAGGAGGAAGGUGGUGAGCUUAAUACGCUCAUCAAUUGACGUUACUCGCAGAAGAAGCACCGGCUAACUCCGUGCCAGCAGCCGCGGUAAUACGGAGGAUGCAAGCGUUAAUCGGAAUUACUGGGCGUAAAGCGCACGCAGGCGGUCUGUCAAGUCGGAUGUGAAAUCCCCGGGCUCAACCUGGGGACUGCAUUCGAAACUGGCAGGCUAGAGUCUUGUAGAGGGGGGUAGAAUUCCAGGUGUAGCGGUGAUAUGCGUAGAGAUCUGGAGGAAUACCGGUGGCGAAGGCGG
rnacentral:rRNA from 1 species